ACUCAUGGCAAGUGUUUUCAAGCAAUUCUUGGCAUCAAGCGGCUGUUAAUCAGGAACUCGAGUUUGUUCUCAGCCACCAAGGGCUUGUAUAUUCAAGGUCUUGGAGGCAAGCACCAGACAAUCAAGGCCAGAAGUU